rnacentral:rRNA from 1 species
GAUGAACGCUGGCGGCGUGCUUAACACAUGCAAGUCGAACGAAGAUGCCAUAGUAGAAGCAAUUAGCUUGCUAAGAGUGGACACAGUGGGAUCUUAGUGGCGGACGGGUGAGUAACGCGUGGGUAACCUGCCGUAUACAGGGGGAUAACACCUGGAAACAGGUGCUAAUACCGCAUAAGCGCACGAUGUCGCAUGACAACGUGUGAAAAGCCGAGACGGUAUACGAUGGACCCGCGUCUGAUUAGCUAGUUGGUGAGGUAGAGGCUCACCAAGGCGACGAUCAGUAGCCGGCCUGGAGAGGGUGAACGGCCACAUUGGGACUGGAGACACGGGCCCAAACUCCGUACGGGAGCAGCAGGU